UGAGACCGAUGCGCGAUUUCCGUCCUCCCGUUUCGGGUUUCGGCUCGUUUCGGGACCAAAGGUCGGCGCGCUCCGCUUUGGUGACUCUGGAUAACUCACUGGUCGAUCGCACGGGCUUCCACGCCCGGCGACGGGUCCCUCGAGGGUCCGCCCUAUCAACU
rnacentral:rRNA from 1 species